UAGGGAAUCUUCGGCAAUGGACGAAAGUCUGACCGAGCAACGCCGCGUGAGUGAAGAAGGUUUUCGGAUCGUAAAACUCUGUUGGUAGAGAAGAACGUUGGUGAGAGUGGAAAGCUCAUCAAGUGACGGUAACUACCCAGAAAGGGACGGCUAACUACGUGCCAGCAGCCGCGGUAAUACGUAGGUCCCGAGCGUUGUCCGGAUUUAUUGGGCGUAAAGCGAGCGCAGGUGGUUUAUUAAGUCUGGUGUAAAAGGCAGUGGCUCAACCAUUGUAUGCAUUGGAA
rnacentral:rRNA from 1 species